rnacentral:rRNA from 1 species
GACGUAGGGCGCGAGCGUUUGUCCGGAUUUAUUGGGCGUAAAGAGCUCGUAGGCGGCUUGUUGCGUCAGGAGUGAAAACUCGGGGGCUUAACCCCGAGCCUGCUUCUGAUACGGGCAGACUAGAGGUAUGCAGGGGAGAACGGAAUUCCUGGUGUAGCGGUGAAAUGCGCAGAUAUCAGGAGGAACACCGGUGGCGAAGGCGGUUCUCUGGGCAUUACCUGACGCUGAGGAGCGAAAGUGUGGGGAGCGAACAGG